GGCCACGUCCAGGUCCUCACACAGGUGGGAAGGCAGCAGCUGAGAACUGUACGGGAUCCUGUGGGACGAGAGCAGGAGGUGGAAUCAACCGACAGCACUCAGUGCCAAGGCUUCUCAACUUCGGAGGUCUUUGCCGGUACCAAAGCUGAGAGUGGGAGAGCAGCGACAUCGGUCCCUUGGUGAGCCAGUCUCACAGCUGAAAGGAAAGUCUUUAGAUUGCUGGCAUUUGCCUGCAGGAAAACACGAGCAUGGCAUUAAAAGUUCAUUAUUCUUGCAC